CAUAUUUGUAUUUCUACUUUAUGAUAAAUGGCAGUAAGCACACACCUCUUCAACAUGGCUACCUGAUAUUGAGGAGUAUUUCUGUCUUUUAAGCUUUAAAGUUUACAGCUGUACUCCACCGCCUCAUCCAUUCUCUAUUUAUUCUCAUCCCAUCCUCCUCACUCUUCUAGCUGCUAUACUCCCCCUCAUCCAUUCUCGUCUUAUUUUCAUCUCUUUCAUCAUCUUUAAAUUAUUUCUUCUUUUUGUCCAAUUCUGCUUCUACGCGCUGCAAAUUUUUAAAGGAUGCCUGAGUUGUUGAGGUAGAAAGAUAUAUUGAACACAAGAGAACACAAAAAUCUGAAGAAAAAAUACGUAGACUAAAGGAGAACGUCCAGAGUGACCCAAGUGACAUAUAUUUGUAAAGAAUAGGUCACUUUAAAGUAAAGAAUGACAACAACUAGAGGCCCUGAAAUGCUGGAUUCUUGUUGUAAAGACUUAUCAUUUGGAAUGAUGUUGGAAGUUCUUUACACAUUUGGAAUAUUAGUGGCUUUUUAGAGGCUGAGUUACUCUCAGAAACUGUUGUCACAAAUCCUUAUCAACGGUGGUUAUUAUCUUUCUGCAUUUUGUCCGAAUAUUAAACUAGCUCUUCAAAUAUCUGGAGCAUUCUUGAAUUGCUUUAGAUAUUAUCAAAAUUGAGUUUUCGAUGGGCUGAAUAAGAACGCUAACUAGGUAUAACCCCUUGUAUUGCUAAUUUAUAGGGGUUCUGCUUUUUAUUUUUUUUCCUUUUUUUAAAUUACCGAGUUGAAGGUCGAUUCUCUGCUACUUUAGAGAUGCAAUCCCAUUAAAAUUUUAUUUUUCAUUUUGAGAUAAAAAUCUUACCGAUCUUGAAAUGC